rnacentral:rRNA from 1 species
AUUGAACGCUGGCGGCAGGCCUAACACAUGCAAGUCGAGCGAGCGGCGGACGGGUGAGUAAUGUAUGGGGACUGCCCGAUAGCGGGGGAUCACUACUGGCAACGGUAGCUAAUACCGCAUACUAUCGGAUAACCCAUAUGGGAUUAGCUAGUAGGUGAGGUAAUGGCUCACCUAGGCGACGAUCCCUAGCUGGUCUGAGAGGAUGGUCAGCCACACUGGGACUGAGACACGGCCCAGACUCCUACGGAGGCAGCAGUGGGGAAUAUUGCACAAUGGGCGCAAGCCUGCUCCAGCCAAGCAUUGUGUAGGAAGAAGGCCCUAGGGUUGUAAAGUACGUUCAGUCGGGAGGCGUUACCGACAGAAGCAGCACCGGCUAACUCCGUGCCAGCAGCCGCGGUAAUUC